GACGAACGCUGGCGGCGUGCUUAACACAUGCAAGUCGAACGGAAAGGCCUGCUUUCCCUUGUGGAUUGCGGGUACUCGAGUGGCGAACGGGUGAGUAACACGUGAGUGAUCUGCCCCCAACUUGGGUAUAAGCCUGGGAAACUGGGUCUAAUUCCCGAUAGGACUGCAGGGUGGUGCCUGUGGUGGAAAACGAUUUUCUAGUGGUUGGGGAUGAGCUCGCGGCCUAUCAGCUUGUUGGUGGGGUAAUGGCCUACCAAGGCGGCGACGGGUAGCCGGCCUGGGAGGGGGGCCGGCAACAUUGGGACUGGGAUACGGCCCAGACUCCUACGGGAGGCAGCAGUGGGGAAUAUUGCACAAUGGGCGGAAGCCUGAUGCGGCGACGCCGCGUGGGGAUGACGGCCUUCGGGUUGUAAACUCCUUUCGACCGCGAGGAAGCCACCUGGUUGGAAGGGUGGUGACGGUAGUGGUAGAAGAAGCACCGGCUAACUACGUG
rnacentral:rRNA from 1 species